UUGAUUGAUUCAAAUGUUUACUCCGACGCAAAGAUGCAGGGUUGGGGUUCCGCGGGGGGCCCCGAGCCCGAAGGCCGGGUCGCCCCCCGAGGCAACAGAGUGGUUUCACAAAGGGUUGGAGGUCGGGCCGGGGGCCCUCACUCAGUAAUGAUCCCUCCGCAGGUUCACCUACGGAGA
rnacentral:misc_RNA from 1 species